AAUCCAUGGUGCAGACAUUUUUAUAUCAACAUUUUGAAGUGUUCCCAUGCCUCAUAGAAAAUUUCUCCCUCUUUUUGUCUGAAGACAACAAUUCUCUUCUUAGUU
rfam:Gossypium hirsutum cultivar TM-1 chromosome 23, whole genome shotgun sequence